rnacentral:tRNA from 3 species
GGGGCUGUGGCGCAGCGGGAGCGCGCUUCCUUGGCAUGGAAGAGGCCGCGGGUUCGAUUCCCGCCAGCUCCACCA